rnacentral:rRNA from 1 species
ACGCACGCUGGCGGCAUGCCUAACACCUGCCAGUCGCACGCGACCUUCGGGUCUAGUGGCGCACGGGUGCGUCACGCGUGGGAACCUGCCCUUAGGUUCGGAAUAACUCCCCGAAAGGGGUGCUAAUACCGGAUAAUGUCUUCGGACCAAAGAUUUAUCGCCUUUGGAUGGGCCCGCGUUGGAUUAGCUAGUUGGUAGGGUAAAAGCCUACCAAGGCGACGAUCCAUAGCUGGUCUGAGAGGAUGAUCAGCCACACUGGGACUGAGACACGGCCCAGACUCCUACGGGAGGCAGCAGUGGGGAAUAUUGGACAAUGGGCGAAAGACUGAUCCAGCAAUGCCGCGUGAGUGAUGAAGGCCUUAGGGUUGUAAAGCUCUUUUACCCGGGAUGAUAAUGACAGUACCGGGAGAAUAAGCUCCGGCUAACUCCGUG